GAGGUGCGCCCCGCCGGAGUCCGGCCCUGUGCGCGCCAACCGCCCCCCGCCCACGGCGCGGAGCACCUCUGGGCUCCCCACUUGAACGGCGGGCCGCGCCGGCCCAUGAGGAAAGCGGGUGCGGAGCUCGCCCCCUGCCGGAGGAUGCGCUCCGCCGGCGGGCACCCUGCGGCGACCACAGCCGGACGCCAGAAGUGACCUGACCGUGAAUGUGCGCUUUGCGUGCAGUCAUUGCAUCGUCGCAGGCCUGGGAGACAGAUGAAGAGAUGGGUGCUUAUUUUAUAUAGGGGACACAGUGUGCCCAAGAGCACAAGAUAAACGGCCGGGUGGGGAUUCAAACCCAUGUUCCCUGACUCAAGUCUCUUAAGGAAAUUCUCGGUUAUAUUGAAAAAUCCAGAAGCUCUGAAGAUACCAGUCAAAUAAAAUCACACCCUAUAACUCUACACCAGACUUGUGGCAUGGUUUCUGUAGCUGCCAGCGGUAAAACCAAGAAAAACUUUACAAAAACCUUUUGUGCAUCUGAAAAGGAGGAAGUGUGAGAGACAUUGGAAAUUCAAUAUGUCAGACAAAGCCGUCUCCUGACACUGCAGGACAGUGGACCAGUCAAACAAUCUUUUUAAAGCCCCCAUGUAAGAAGUUGCUAUAUGAGGUGGCAGCUUGGGUCAGACAUUAUGUAUGGCCUUUGGUAUUUUAGUAGCACUGCAUGUAAAAUUUAACUUUCUAAAAUCGCUGUAUUCGUGGAUAGCUUUUAUCAUUGCACUAGACAACAAGUUACAAUUUAAAAAUUG